CCUGCGGGCCCGGCUCCUGCCCUCAUCCUGUUGGCCCGUACCCCCACCCCGGAUGCCUUGUAUCCUGUCCCCGCGGGUCUCAGACCUCUGGCGCCCCGCCUGCCCGGUGCCCCACCGCCCCGCCACAGCUCUCGGUCCUCCGCUGCAGGCCCCUCACCCUUCUUCCGGUGUGUCCUCCAGUGUCUGCCUUGGCUCUUGGAGAUCCUGCUGAUGGCUGGCGGGAGCGCACCGCCCGAAGAGGAGUUCCAAGCCCCGCCGGCUCUAGGGGUGCAGAACUUGCGGACUGAGGCCUAGGAGUGGGGUGCAGGUCGCCAAAAGUGGUCCCAAAAGCGGCCACCUAUCCAAGAGAAAUUCUGCAGGACCCCCUUGCCAGAUCUAGCCCCUACGUAUACUUUCCAACAGAAGAAGCCGCUGUCCACAAAUACUGGACUCUGUUAAGUGACAUGGUUGCUCAAGGGAAUUUACAGGUUGGAACCACAGUGAGUUAACAGACCUGGCUGGAGGUUUUGGGGAAAGCAGUGAGGGGGCAGAGGAGGCGAGCAACAGGUGGAGCAGGCCUUCACCCGGACACAAGGAGUCCCAAACUUGUCUCUGAGAACAGAAACCCAGGUCCCUUGCCAACUGGAACUCUAGUACCAUCUACUGGAAGAUUCAGACACUGCAUUUGCACAAGUGGUUUCACUCCAGGUUAACGUUUCAGUAUGAAGAAGUAAGCCGUCUUUCUGCUAUGGCUUCCUCUGAAUGGCCCUACUUCAGAGUUUUGCAAAAUGGUGUUAAUUCAGCUCUACAGCCCCCAAG